rnacentral:rRNA from 1 species
AUUGAACGCUGGCGGCAUGCCUUACACAUGCAAGUCGAACGGCAGCACGGGAGCUUGCUCCUGGUGGCGAGUGGCGAACGGGUGAGUAAUACAUCGGAACGUACCCAGGAGUGGGGGAUAACGUAGCGAAAGUUACGCUAAUACCGCAUAUUCUGUGAGCAGGAAAGCGGGGGAUCGCAAGACCUCGCGCUCUUGGAGCGGCCGAUGUCGGAUUAGCUAGUUGGUGAGGUAAAAGCUCACCAAGGCGACGAUCCGUAGCAGGUCUGAGAGGACGACCAGCCACACUGGGACUGAGACACGGCCCAGACUCCUACGGGAGGCAGCAGUGGGGAAUAUUGGACAAUGGGGGCAACCCUGAUCCAGCAAUGCCGCGUGUGUGAAGAAUUUCGGUUCGUAAACUCCUUUCGACCGAGAUGAACACCUCGCGAUCUAACACAUCGCGGGGCUGACAGUAUCGAGAGAAGAAGCCCCGGCUAACUCUGUGCCAGCCGCCGCCGUAAAAC